rnacentral:rRNA from 1 species
GACGAACGCUGGCGGCGUGCUUAACACAUGCCAGUCGAACGGAAAGGCCCUGCUUUUGUGGGGUGCUCGAGUGGCGAACGGGUGAGUAACACGUGAGUAACCUGCCCUUGACUUUGGGAUAACUUCAGGAAACUGGGGCUAAUACCGGAUAGGAGCUCCUGCUGCAUGGUGGGGGUUGGAAAGUUUCGGCGGUUGGGGAUGGACUCGCGGCUUAUCAGCUUGUUGGUGGGGUAGUGGCUUACCAAGGCUUUGACGGGUAGCCGGCCUGAGAGGGUGACCGGCCACAUUGGGACUGAGAUACGGCCCAGACUCCUACGGGAGGCAGCAGUGGGGAAUAUUGCACAAUGGGCGGAAGCCUGAUGCAGCAACGCCGCGUGCGGGAUGACGGCCUUCGGGUUGUAAACCGCUUUCGCCUGUGACGAAGCGUGAGUGAUGGUAAUGGGUAAAGAAGCACCGGCUAACUACGUG